rnacentral:rRNA from 1 species
CAAAAGCGUAUAUUAAAGUUGUUGCAGUUAAAAAGCUCGUAGUUGAACCUUGGGCUUGGCUGGCCGGUCCAUCUUUUUUGAUGCGUACUGGACCCAGCCGAGCCUUUCCUUCUGGCUAGCCUUUUGGCGAACCAGGACUUUUACUUUGAAAAAAUUAGAGUGUUCAAAGCAGGCCUUUGCUCGAAUAUAUUAGCAUGGAAUAAUAGAAUAGGACGUUAUGGUUCUAUUUUGUUGGUUUCUAGGACCAUCGUAAUGAUUAAUAGGGACGGUCGGGGGUAUCAGUAUUCAGUUGUCAGAGGUGAAAUUCUUGGAUUUACUGAAGACUAACUACUGCGAAAGCAUUUACCAAGGACGUUUUCAUGAA